GGGAAGUGGCUUGUUCUCAAAUGUUCUGUAAUGCUAGAGGGGGGCUAAAUUCUAAAUGGGUCCCUGGUGCGACACCAUUGAUGCUGGUGGACUUGCAGCUGAGAGUGAUUUGGCCCAGUUCUAUGAGAACACCUGGGAAGCUUUCUGAAGGAGCAAAGCUGCUGGUCAUUCUCUGGGCCUGGAGAAAUGAAGGGCUUCAUGCUACACUGGAGAAACCACCAAAGUGGAAGGGGAACGCCCAAGGUAACGAACAGAAGCUUGACCAGGCUCUGAUCACAUUUCACACUCACCUACCUGAAACAAUCAGCCUCCUCUGUGUGUCUGAAGAUUGUUACAAGAUGGAGGAAAUUAUAUAGAGAGCAUGGAUGGUAUCUGAUAUUCAGUCAGUCUGCCCCUGCUGAACAGAAUAUUAGUGGCGUCUCCUGUAUUGUCAUCGUGGACAAAGCCCCUGUGAACAGUCACAUCUCUCUGUUGGUUGCUUCUGGUGACUUUGCUGCUGUGAUUCUGCUGUAUUUCUUCAGAGCCUGUGUCUCCAAGCUAUGCUGUACAGAGGAGUGCUGCCAUGUGCUUUAAUGGAAGGGGCUUCCCUCGUGUCUUUAAUUAUAUAAAUACA